UCCCAAGUUUUUCAAUUUCUCCCUCCUUACCUAAACUCCUGCUGCUUUCCAAACACCAAUUCAUAUUUCCACGUGAUCCCAAAAUUCCUGAUCCGUCUCUUCUUCAAAACCUGAUCAUAUUCACCCAUAAGGUUUCUACCCAAAAUCCCAAUCGUUCAACUGUGCUUAGCCGCAAGCGACCACCAAUCGACUGUUUGUAGUCGUUACUGAGUUGCUUUUACUAUAACAAUCAACCAUGUUCCAAUAGACCUCUUUAACUGCAAAUGUAUAUCUGACUUCCUCAUUAUCUUAUUGGAAAUACUUAAUGCAAUCUUGACCUACGCAUUCCCAAGGAACCCAGAGGUGCGUGGUUAAAGUUAUUCGGUAUAGUAGGCAACUUGGAAGAUGGUUGGGUUGGUAGGAUGGAUAAGCAUUGAAAUGGUUCUUUUCUUAGAAAAGGUCAAAAUGAUUGGGUUGGAUUGGCUUGACCUGCUUGAUUCAAAAUAAAACCCAAAUUAACGCAUUAAUAAGUAGUCAUCAUGUGAAUCAUAUUACCUAAAUGUAAAUAUAUGGUUUCAAAGAGUAGCAGUACUUGCCCUCAUGUCCUGCUUAAGUUCUUUUGAUGUUUGCCUUAUGUACUUAACUACGUAUGUCUGUUUGGAACAAACAAACAAACAAAUAUUUGAUAAGCAGUUGGGUUUGAAGUCAUUUAACCACCUAUUGGUUUUCUUUGGUGUUUGGUUUGUGCACCUUGUAACACCCCAACCUGGAACAGGCUGACGUGUCACUCAUACAGAUAUCAAAACUAAAACCAAUCCAUAACGUUGAAAACAAAAGAUCCUAAUUACAUUUUCAUUACAUUACCGAAAUAAAAAUAAGUCUUUAUCUUCA